rnacentral:rRNA from 1 species
ACAAGCAGUGGAGUAUGUGGUUAAUUCGAAGCAACGCGAAGAACCUUACAGGGCUCGACAUCCCCUGACCGCGUAUGAAAGUACGUUUUCACCUCGGUGACAGGGAGACAGGUGGUGCAUGGUUGUCGUCAGCUCGUGUCGUGAGAUGUUGGGUUAAGUCCCGCAACGAGCGCAACCCCUACGUUUAGUUGCUAACGCGUGAAGGCGAGCACUCUAGACGAACUGCCGUUGACAAAACGGAGGAAGGUGGGAUGACGUCAAAUCAUCAUGCCCUUAUGUUCUGGGCUACACACGUGCUACAAUGGCCGGUACAGACGGACGCAAAGCCGCGAGGUGGAGCAAAUCCUAAAAAGCCGGUCUCAGUUCGGAUUGCAGGCUGCAAUUCGCCUGCAUGAAGUCGGAAUCGCUAGUAAUCGCAGGUCAGCAUACUGCGGUGAAUACGUUCCCGGGCCUU